UGGCCAAGGAUGAAAACCAUGAUCUGAUGGGCAUAACAUUGUAAACAGGUAUGCAAAGUCUGAUGGGUUAAAGGAUUUUACCUGAGGCCA